rnacentral:rRNA from 1 species
AAACAACUYUCAGCAACGGAUAUCUUGGCUCUUGCAACGAUGAAGAACGCAGCGAAAUGCGAUACGUAGUGUGAAUUGCAGAAUUCCGCGAAUCAUCGAGUCUUUGAACGCAAGUUGCGCCCGAGGCUUGUCCGAGGGCAUUUCCGCUAGAGCGUCACC